UUUUCUGCCAGCAGGAGGCGCUUUAAGAGCGGGAGAGAUACAGGAUUCUCCGGUAAAGGCUGCAAAGCAGCGCUGAGCUCACAAACGCUGCCUUAUCAAGCAUUACAUGCUAAAUUAAAUGAAAAUGAAAUCGAAAUUUUUCUAAAUACAGUCGGUUUCCUUCUGAAAUACAGUGAUAUAAAAACACCCGCAUUGGUUUUUGAUUUUGAAACGUGCAGUGCUCAUGUUUAUUCAAUGAAGUCAAAGCCUUUUGGAAAAUCUAUUUGUGGCGGUCAGUUUUGAUAUUGUGGCGGCCCGCCACUCUCUGUUGUCUAUCAAAGAGAGAGUGAAUUAUGUCUCAAGUACAUUUAUACUUGCUUCAUUAAUACUAUUGACUGAUUCAAUCUUUUUUUAUCUUUAUCUGCCCAAAGGAGUCAGUAUUCAGAGUACUUGUGGGCAUUGAGAAAUCGCCUGAAAUCGUUACUUUGCCAGAACGCCUUCUCAUUGUUAGUAAUGUGCCAAAAACACUUGGGGCAAUCAAGGAAGUAGAGACCAUAAUUCAACGCUAUGGUGGCUUCAAGAAAGUUUUGCCUCUGAAUGGCAGGAUUAUUUUUGAAAUGGAGAGUGCUGCCAACGCCAGGGCUAUCUUCAGUCGCUUCCUCAAGUUUCGAUGUGUGGUCCAGAACAAUACCCUUAACUUCCAACUAGCCAAACCAGUCAAGGUAGUUUCACCUCAUCACCUCAGUUCUUUUUCAGAGGCAAUUAAUUAAAAAUUCAACUAACCAUGUUGUCAUUUAUUUUAACAGCUAAAAAAGAAGCCAGUAGCAAAAGGGUAAGAGGGAAGAAAUUAAAUAUUUUGCUUUUAUUCUAUACAAAGGGUUCUGGAA
rnacentral:lncRNA from 1 species